rnacentral:rRNA from 1 species
GACGAACCGUGCGAGCGUUGUUCGGAAUCACUGGGCUUAAAGGGCGCGUAGGCGGGCUGCCAAGUCUGGGGUGAAAUCCCACGGCUCAACCGUGGAACUGCCUCGGAUACUGGCGGGCUCGAGGGAGGUAGGGGCGAGCGGAACUGUGGGUGGAGCGGUGAAAUGCGUUGAUAUCCGCAGGAACUCCGGUGGCGAAGGCGGCACGCUGGGCCGAUACUGACGCUGAGGAGCGAAAGCCAGGGGAGCAAACGGG